AAAACCAAUUCCGGCUGUGUUUUUUUUUUUUUUAUAUAUAUUUUAUAUCAAAGGGGUGAUUUCAAGUUUCUGUUGAUUUGGAUGAUAUGGACACCUUGACUGGUUCUAUAAAUAUUUUUGUGAAGUUUGGUGAAGGGGAUAAGAAAAGUUUUUGUGUGAUGACUUUUACAAGGUACUUCAAGUCAUCAUGUAAAAGAGUCAUGCAAGACUCAGAGGGAUAUUGAAAAGUUAGAAAAGUAGUUGGGCUGUUUCUCUUUAAGUUUUCUACUAUUAUAUAAAUUAUGUUUCUGAAAUUUAAACUUAUUGUCAGUUUUUCAUAACAAACUCUCAUAGCAGACUUUCCUACAGUCAGAUGAACUAACAUUUUGUGAUUUUCAAUAUAUUUGUCAUAUGUCCCAUCGAGAAUGUAGGAGAGUCUAUUAGGAGGGCUUGUUAGGAAAAUAACAUUUUUUCAAACUAAAUCUCAGGAUCAAAAUAGAUGAGAGCAGUGACAUGGAUCAUUUUUCUCCAUCAAUUGUAUUUGGGACCAAUUCAUUGUGAGCUACAGUGGUUCUAAAUUAUUUUUUACCACUUCAAUCAAUGCUUUUCGUUUUUUGGUCUACCACAACCUAUAUCCACAAUAUUACUUGCAUAUUACCGGAAUAUCAAUGAUUUGGAUAGUCCAAAACAUAUCAAAUCAUUAGAUCCUAUUCCCUUAUAUAUAUA